AGAGUUUGAUCCUGGCUCAGGAUAAACGCUGGCGGCGUGCCUAACACAUGCAAGUCGAACGCCCUUGCGCAAGUAAGGGAGUGGCGGACGGGUGAGUAACACGUGGGGAUCUACCCAGAGGUGAGGAAUACCGGCGAGAAAUCGCCGACAACACCGCAUAGCCUUCCGAGAGGGAGGAAAGUCGCAAGACGCCUGUGGAU
rnacentral:rRNA from 1 species